AUCGCUUCUCGGCCUUUUGGCUAAGAUCAAGUGUAGUAUCUGUUCUUAUCAGUUUAAAAAUCACUGCACAUAUUAUACAAUUAAUAUACCAUGAAUACUAUUAACAUAAUGUAUAUGUUGAUCUACAGUAACGCUACUGUUCAGCAUUAGAGACCUAAACCCAUACACCAUGCUUCAUGGGAGAUCUGGGGAUUUUCA
rnacentral:snRNA from 1 species